rnacentral:rRNA from 1 species
AGCGAACGCUGGCGGCAGGCUUAACACAUGCAAGUCGAGCGGGCAUCCUUGUGGUGUCAGCGGCAGACGGGUGAGUAACGCGUGGGAACGUGCCCUUCGGUUCGGAAUAACUCAGGGAAACUUGAGCUAAUACCGGAUACGUGCGAGAGCAGAAAGGUUUAUCUGCCGAAGGAUCGGCCCGCGUCUGAUUAGCUAGUUGGUGAGGUUAUGGCUCACCAAGGCGACGAUCAGUAGUUGGUCUGAGAGGAUGAUCAGCCACACUGGGACUGAGACACGGCCCAGACUCCUACGGGAGGCAGCAGUGGGGAAUAUUGGACAAUGGGGGCAACCCUGAUCCAGCCAUGCCGCGUGAGUGAUGACGGCCUUAGGGUUGUAAAGCUCUUUUCUCCGGGACGAUAAUGACGGUACCGGAGGAAUAAGCCCCGGCUAACUUCGUG